GGGUCUUUAACAUGUCUCCAACCGAAUCAGAGUUUCCCAAAUGAGAAGAGAGCAAGGAUACAACACAGACCUGGACAUAAAUUUCAGUGCCCUGACUCUGGUGCUCCCACCUGGUGAUGACCGACGGAGCGCUGACAGGCACGUCCAGGGCAUGGCUGCUCCCCCGCGCCCCGCCCUCCCCAAACAUCUCUGACGGACGGUUGGCUGCAGCCCAGGA